rnacentral:lncRNA from 1 species
GUUUAAUAGUAACUAGUUUAAAAAUUAAGCUCUUUUUGUGUCCUUUAUAGCCUUGACAGCAAUGCUAAUCCACCACUUACGGAGGGGAAGGACCCUACCACCUACAUUUUCUUAAGGGUAUGGAUGCUAACUGUGUAUCUUGUACAUAGGAAGGAGAUGACUCACUCCUUAUAACAGUGGUCCCUGCCAAAUCAUACAGAGCAGCUGCAAACAGGAAGGAUCCUGAGGACCUGGACAGAGAACACAGGAAUGGAAGGGUUAGUCAGGAAGAAGAAAAGACAAGACAUGAAGAAGAGUGCAGAGCUCUCAAAGAAGCAAAAUGCCUUUCAUUGGUCAUGGAUGAUGAAACAGAGGCCAAAAA